UACGAAGGGGGCUAGCGUUGCUCGGAAUCACUGGGCGUAAAGCGCACGUAGGCGGGUCGUUAAGUCAGGGGUGAAAUCCUGGAGCUCAACUCCAGAACUGCCCUUGAUACUGGCGAUCUCGAGUUCGGGAGAGGUGAGUGGAACUGCGAGUGUAGAGGUGAAAUUCGUAGAUAUUCGGAGGAACACCAGUGGCGAAGGCGGCUCACUGGCUCGGUACUGACGCUGAGGUGCGAAAGCGUGGGGAGCAAACAGGG
rnacentral:rRNA from 1 species